UACGGAGGAUGCAAGCGUUAUCCGGAAUGAUUGGGCGUAAAGCGUCCGCAGGUGGCUAUGUAAGUCUGCUGUUAAAGAGUCUAGCUCAACUAGAUAAAAGCAGUGGAAACUACAUAGCUAGAGUACGUUCGGGGCAGAGGGAAUUCCUGGUGUAGCGGUGAAAUGCGUAGAGAUCAGGAAGAACACCAGUGGCGAAGGCGCUCUGCUAGGCCGUAACUGACACUGAGGGACGAAAGCUAGGGGAGCGAAUGGG
rnacentral:rRNA from 1 species